UACGAAGGGGGCUAGCGUUGCUCGGAAUCACUGGGCGUAAAGGGUGCGUAGGCGGCUUUUUAAGUCAGGGGUGAAAUCCUGGAGCUCAACUCCAGAACUGCCUUUGAUACUGGGAAGCUUGAGUCCGGAAGAGGUGAGUGGAACUCCGAGUGUAGAGGUGAAAUUCGUAGAUAUUCGGAAGAACACCAGUGGCGAAGGCGGCUCACUGGUCCGGUACUGACGCUGAGGUGCGAAAGCGUGGGGAGCAAACAGG
rnacentral:rRNA from 1 species